rnacentral:rRNA from 1 species
AUGAACGCUGGCGGCGUGCCUAAUACAUGCAAGUCGAGCGAACAGACGAGGAGCUUGCUCCUCUGACGUUAGCGGCGGACGGGUGAGUAACACGUGGAUAACCUACCUAUAAGACUGGGAUAACUUCGGGAAACCGGAGCUAAUACCGGAUAAUAUAUUGAACCGCAUGGUUCAAUAGUGAAAGACGGUUUUGCUGUCACUUAUAGAUGGAUCCGCGCCGCAUUAGCUAGUUGGUAAGGUAACGGCUUACCAAGGCAACGAUGCGUAGCCGACCUGAGAGGGUGAUCGGCCACACUGGAACUGAGACACGGUCCAGACUCCUACGGGAGGCAGCAGUAGGGAAUCUUCCGAAAUGGGCGAAAGACUGACGGAGCAACGCAGCGUGAGUGAUGAAGGUCUUCGGAUCGUAAAACUCUGUUAUUAGGGAAGAACAAAUGUGUAAGUAACUAUGCACGUCUUGACGGUACCUAAUCAGAAAGCCACGGCUAACUACGUG